CUCUUUUAGGUUAAAUCUAUUUCUCGUUCCUUUAUAUUCACUUUCUUUUUAUGUAUCUAUUUACCUAGUUAGGUGUUGAAAUUAUGAUAAUCUUAGGCUCUCCUAGAAAAAAGACAGAUUCCCUAUCUUGUCCAGAAACCUACUCCAUUCGUUUGCUACUGUUUCUAACAAUCUUGUGAUUUCAGUUUGGUUUCUUUUUAUUAGGUUCCGUGAAAGGUCCCAUAUGUUGUUUUUCAAUAACUGUUCAUACUAGUGGUGAUUCCUUGAAGAAACUUGAUUGGAUAUUCGUGUAAGACCAGUUUCAAAUAUAUAUUGAAUGGAUACAGCUUUCAAGCAAAGCUUAACUGAUCACGGAUCUUAUGAGGAUGAAUAUUCAUUUUUUCAUCUAGACAACCUCAAAUGCAUAUACAAGUUUCAGUUGAAUUAAUUUAGUAAUUAGUAAUAAAAACAACGGGCAAAAAAGAUGUCUAAACUAAUUAAUCAUUAUGAAUCUUUAAAGUGAAUUAGAUCGACGUUCCGUGGAGAUGUUUGGUUAAUAUCGACAUAGUCUGUGAUUUUUAUUUUGUUAUAGAAUAUAUGUUUGGUUAGUGUAACCAUGCAUAUGGACUCAUGAAACUAGUCAGUGUAACUUCACUAAUAGGUACAACUUAUUAGAGCAUUUUUAACUUCAUUCUAUAAUUUAUUCUAAAAUAGAAUUUAUAAGUAAGGAAUACUCUUAUUUCACUCUAUUUUUCAUUUCAUAAUGAAAAUUUACUCCACAAUGGAGUACUCAUUUUUGUUCACUAUUCUUUUUAUUUUCAUUCUAUUCUAAUUUUUAGAAUAGUGUUAGAGUAACACUCAAUUCUACUAAUAGUGUUAGAGUAACACUCAAUUCUAUUUUUAUUAAUAUUUUACCCUAAAAAAAUACUCAAUUCUAUUAUGGAAUUAUUUUAUUUCGAAAUAAAAAAUAUAAUUUUACAUUUGGAAAUGUCUUACGCGUAGUUAUGAAUUAAACAAUCAUCAUUAGUUUUUUUAUUGACCAAACAAAACACAAAUUACAAUAUAAAGAAAUCAUAUUAGUUGCUUAACUUCUGUAAACGCAUGGUUUGGAUAAAUCAUGUCGAUUGGCUCAAUGCAUUUGCACAUGUAUUGAUUAUCGUUUCAUUUGAAACCGAUGGUCUCUCUCUAUCCAUUUGAAACCACACUCAUCAAGCAAUUCUAAUGUAAAGUGGAUUAAUGUGAUUUAAUAUUUAAAUGUCGGAUAAAGAGGGUUAAUCAAAAUAAGCUAAUUGGCCAUUGGGGAGAGAGUUCGCACUUCCCAGCUGAGACCGACACAUGUAGGGCACAUGGGGUAAGGGACACUCACGUCAUCUGUGGACGGGACCACAGAGCGUGCUGUGCACCCCCUAUCUGUUUCAUCGAACGGUUGUCAUUCCAACUUCUGAUUCUCAUUGUCUUUUUUUUUUCUAUUCGUGUAUUCCUCUGUAAAGUAGUAAGCCACGCUUGCGUCAGCUUUUCCCACCUUGGCUUUUUAUUCUUAACACUACACGAUGAGUAUAAUUAAUUGGAUUUCAGAUGUCAAAAAAGUAAUUUAAUGACUUAUCAGAUCUUAGAUUUUUUUUUUCUCCGUCAAUAGAUUAUAUCAAACAUUCGAUGGAAUACAACUUCAGCCGGCGGAACACGAUGAAAUCCUCGGAAACAUAUCCCAUAACAGGGAAACUAAAACCCAAACAUGGACAUCAAGAAGACAUUGAAACAUAAUUUUAAACUAAAGCAAAUUUCUACAACUAGACCUUCUUACAACCCUUAAGAGAACAAAAAGAGAGGGCUGGGGUAGUGACGGCGGAUCGUGAGACGGUGAGGAAUCGAGGGGAGGGGAGAUCGGAUUGGGAUUCGAUCGGGGUUAGGGUUUUGCAGGGUUAUUGAGAGGGAAUAAGAGGAGAUGAGGAUGCGACGUGUUCCUUGUACAGCCUACAUGCCCACCUGCUAAUGAAAUCCUUAUGGAACUGCUCGUUAUGAUUGACACCUGUCGUAGAGCAUCUCCCAAGACCAUCACGGCUGUGAUUCCUUUGGCUAUGCUCGAGCUGAUAGAAAGGCAAGUCCUUUAUGCUUGUACUAUUAGAAUUUGCCUUGGAAUCAAUCUUCUUCCUACAUUGGUAGCUUAGUUCUCUGCUUGAAGCUGAUUUGAGUUUGUCUAUUAGUUUCUAGUUGAUGGCUAACAAAGUUUUUCAUAUGACCCUUCUGUUCUGCAUAUUCUUGGUGGAGUCGCAAGGGCUUGCGCAUUUGCCAUUCUCUAAAGUUCUUGUUGGUCAUCCUGAUUAUGAAGUGACGGGAGGGAGUAUUGUAUUUUAAGGACAUGUUGGUUUCUUUUCUUCUGCUUUCUUUCACUUGUUAUGUCUUGCACACAAAAAAAAAAACAAAGAAAGAGGUAAAGAGUAAGAGAGCACAGAAGGAAGUUUGCAACUCGAGCUCGAGGAUGGGUGCGGUUUAUACUUUGAUUGUGAGGGAAGAGGAGAUUCUGAUGGAGCAGAGGAAGGGGGAGUGUGGUGAGGAAGGAGAGAGAUGAAGAUAUUGAGCUCGUUGUGCCUCUUGUUUUCAGCUUAUGUACAAAGGUAUUAUGUUUCAUCACUUCAUGUCAUGAUCCUUUUAUUGCUAUGUCUAGGAUUUUAUAGUUCUUUAGUUGAGCAGCUUUCAUGAAAA